AUCCUUUAGUAGUUCAGAAGCAAGAUGAUUGAGUUUUCAUGCUCAUGUGUGAGAUGUGUCUCCCUCAAAUCUUGUUAUGACAUCAGCACAUUAUCCAUAUGAUG
ensembl:snoRNA